rnacentral:misc_RNA from 1 species
CUGAUUUGGCGGACCGAGCGUCAGCGAGGUUCCGCGAUCGUCUAUAUUUAAAACCCACACCUUGAAUUAUAUAUUUUUGUAUUUUUUAAAUAAAAUAAAAAAAGA